UGGGGAAUAUUGCACAAUGGGGGAAACCCUGAUGCAGCGACGCCGCGUGAACGAAGAAGGUAUUCGUAUCGUAAAGUUUUGUCCUAUGGGAAGAUAAUGACAGUACCAUAGAAGAAAGCUCCGGCUAAAUACGUGCCAGCAGCCGCGGUAAUACGCAUGGAGCGAGCGUUGUCCGGAAUUAUUGGGCGUAAAGGGUACGCAGGCGGUUUAAUAAGUCGAAUGUUAAAGAUCGGGGCUCAACCCCGCAAAGCAUUGGAAACUGAUAAACUUGAGUAGUGGAGAGGAAAGUGGAAUUCCUAGUGUAGUGGUGAAAUACGUAGAUAUUAGGGGGAAUACCAGUAGCGAAGGCGACUUUCUGGACACAAACUGACGCUGAGGUACGAAAGCGUGGGGAGCAAACAGG
rnacentral:rRNA from 1 species